AAAUUUGGACAAUUGGGGAAACCUUGAUCCAGCCUUCCCGCGUGUAUGAUGAGGGCCUUCGGGUUGUUAAGUUCUUAUUGUAGCGAAGAAAAAGUAUCUCCUAUUAUUACAUACUGCUGACUGUAUCUGCAGAAUAAGCACCGGUUAACUACGUGCCAGCAGCCGCGGUAAUACGUAGGGUUCAAGCGUUAAUUGGAAUUACUGGGCGUAAAGCGUGUGUAGGCAGUUAGGAAAGAAAGAUGUGAAAUCCCAGGGCUCAACCUUGGAACUGCAUUUAUAACUGCCAAGCUAGAGUAUGUCAGAGGGGGGUAAAAUUCCACGUGUAGAAGUGAAAUGCGUAGUUAUGUGGAGGAAUACCAAUGGAGAAGGCAGCCCCCAGGGAUAAUACUGACGCUCAGACAAAAAAGCGUGGGGAGCAAA
rnacentral:rRNA from 1 species